GUGAAUCAUCGAAUCUUUGAACGCACAUUGCGCCCAUUAGUAUUCUAGUGGGCAUGCCUGUUCGAGCGUCAUUUCAACCCUUAAGCCUAGCUUAGUGUUGGGAGACUGCCUAAUACGCAGCUCCUCAAAACCAGUGGCGGAGUCUGUUCGUGCUCUGNGCGUAGUAAUUUUUUAUCUCGCUUCUGCAAGCCGGCCAGACGACAGCCAUAAACCGCACCCUCUCGGGGGGCACUUUUUUAAUGGUUGACCUCGGAUCAGGUAGGAAUACCCGCUGAACUUAAGCAUAUCAAUAAGCGGAGG
rnacentral:misc_RNA from 1 species